rnacentral:lncRNA from 1 species
CAAGAUUCCAGGAAUACGAACGAAUGAGCCAAUGCGAGGAAAGAUCUUUUCCAGGACAGAAAAUCGCUGGCGGUUAGGUGAGGCGUACCAACACCGCGGCGUCUGGCCUGGGGUUCGUGGACGGAGCAGCCGGUGCGCCAAGCGCGUCUGUAGAGCAGCACACCGUAUUUUCUUAAGGCCGCGGCAGAUCUGGAUGCGGUGGUGUCUGGGGAUUCAAAAAUCGAGGCAGAAAAUCGUUCCUUCUAAAGGGUCAUUUAAUGUAUCGCCGGAGGCCAGCUGCUCAAACGGAGUGGCCCAGUCGGAUGCGUGGAUGUCACCAGUGUAAUUCCGUACCGGGUUGUUGUUCGGCGUCUUCCAUCAAGAGAGCAGUUGAAGAGCGCGGUUGAAGAGACCAGCGAUCUUUGUGGGAUGAAAUGUGCCUCGAACCUGAAAAAAGAAAGUGCAGUUGGCUUUCUGGCAACAAAGGCCUCCUGUUGACACCCUCGGAGCUUGCAAGUCCGAGGCCAUCCCCGGGGACUUCAUAGGUCCGUUUGAGAAAUAUAUCACUAGAAUUCCGUUCUCUUCGAAUGGUACGGGAUACCCCCGUUUUCUUGCUUCAUGCGUAGUGUGGGUUAGUUCCCGGGUGAGUAUUUCUUGCUGCCCCUCGAUAUAUUUCAGCCGGUGGUCUGUGACAUUCCGAAUUGUUACAUCGGCGAGCAGACGGAUUAGGAGACACACUCUCUCUGGCCUCGGAUGCGGACAGAACGAGGGGAGUAUCUGCGGCAUCCUCUCACUUGGGCGUGCCGCUCCCUGCAGUUCAUACGGCGUCUCAUGUAAUACAGUGGCAGCAGGUGAAGUAUUCCUUCCGUGUGUAAUUCAGCUUCUCGACAAACGACGGGCUGUACCACGGACGGGCUUUCUCAUGGCAGUUCACUUGUGUUUGCCUGCUAUGGAGGUGACAGGUUGGGGCUUCUUGACAGCCCGCCCUUUCGGCACCUGCCGACCUCGUAGCGACGCGAGUACUCCCUAUCAAUUCGUGAAGGGCUACCCUCCGCGAACCAUUGCUUCGAGCAUCAGCCCCGGCAGCCCCAGGCACGCAUUUUACUCUGCAGCUCCUUUGUACGGCAGGCUUAUUUUGACUAUGCUACCGCCUAGUGGUCGGGACUGCCGACGAAUCGCAAGGUCCGUGCUGGAGAGUCACUGACCAGGAAUGCGGAUGCCAUCAAAGUGCAGCCACCGAUCUUGAUUGGGGUUGACCCUCGAUCACUACAGCUGCUCGUGUUUUGGGACAUCACCAAACACUCCAAAUGUGAUUCCUCGAAACGCGAAGACGUGCUGUUAGUGCCAUGUUGUUGGGUACUGCUAGUCUUUGCAGAUACACAGAAAAACCUCCUGCCGUGCGAACUGACAGAUA